rnacentral:piRNA from 1 species
UAUCUCCCGGGGAGAUAGCUGAGA